UACAGAGGUCUCGAGCGUUGUUCGGAUUCAUUGGGCGUAAAGGGUGCGUAGGUGGCGCUGUAAGUCAGGUGUGAAAUUUCGGAGCUUAACUCCGAAACUGCAUUUGAUACUGCGGUGCUUGAGGACUGGAGAGGAGACUGGAAUUCCCGGUGUAGCGGUGAAAUGCGCAGAUAUCGGGAAGAACACCCGUGGCGAAGGCGGCAUCCUGGACCGGCACUGACGCUGAGGAGCGAAAGCCAGGGGAGCAAACGGG
rnacentral:rRNA from 1 species